rnacentral:rRNA from 1 species
GAUGAACGCUGGCGGCGUGCCUAAUACAUGCAAGUCGAGCGAACAGACGAGGAGCUUGCUCCUCUGACGUUAGCGGCGGACGGGUGAGUAACACGUGGAUAACCUACCUAUAAGACUGGGAUAACUUCGGGAAACCGGAGCUAAUACCGGCUAAUCUCUUGAACCGCAUGGUUCAAUAGUGAAAGACGGUUUUGCUGUCACUUAUAGAUGGAUCCGCGGCGCAUUAGCUAGUUGGUAAGGUAACGGCUUACCAAGGCAACGAUGCGUAGCCGGCCUGAGAGGGUGAUCGGCCACACUGGAACUGAGACACGGUCCAGACUCCUACGGGAGGCAGCAGUAGGGAAUCUUCCGCAAUGGGCGAAAGCUUGACGGAGCAACGCCGCGUGAGUGAUGAAGGUCUUCGGAUCGUAAAGCUCUGUUAUCAGGGAAGAACAAAUGUGUAAGUAACUAUGCACGUCUUGACGGUACCUAAUCAGAAAGCCACGGCUAACUACGUG